AGGUAAAAAAGAAAGAGGAAUCAAAGAAAAGAAAGGAAGGGCAGAAAAUAAAAGAAAGAAAAGUGAGAACAAGGAAGAGAGCAAGAUUCAGAGGCAGGGAAGACCUGAGUCUGGGGAGAGGGCAGGAAUGUGCCCUGUGGGGCUCAGGCGUGUCCCUUCAUGUCACAUCCUGGUGCUGGUGGUGACCUGAUUUUGACUCAUCCAAAAAAUGAUCAAAAGAGAGGGAAACAAAGACUAGGACAUCUAGCACAAUGUUGAAAAGUAUGGCCCAGACCCUAUCAGAAUAAUCCCAGCCCAUCAUAGCAAAAUUGGUGAAAACAAAAAAAAAGGGAAAAAUGACAAAACAGCCAGAGGAAAAAGACAUCUAUUUUCAAAAGAUUAAUAAUAAGGCAAAUGGCUGACUUUUCAACAGAAGCAAUAGAAACCAAAGACAAUAGAGUGACAUAUUGAAAUUGCUGAAAGAAAAUUACUGCCAAUCUAGGGUUCUGUAUCUAGAGAAAAUAUCUUUCAAAAAUGAAAACGAAAUAAAUAUGUUUUUGGAUGAA